UGGCUCUCGCAUCGAUGAAGAACGCAGCGAAAUGCGAUACGUAAUGUGAAUUGCAGAAUUCAGUGAAUCAUCGAAUCUUUGAACGCAUAUUGCGCUCUCUGGUAUUCCGGAGAGCAUGCUUGUUUGAGUAUCAGUAAACACCUCACCAUACUCAUUUUUUUUUGAGUGGUGGACUUGAGCUAUCCCAACGCUUCUUGAAUGGAGUGGCGGGCGGCUUAAAAUGCAGGUGCAGCUGGACUCGUUCUGGGCUAAAAGCAUAUCUAUUUAAUCCCGUUAAACGGAUUAUUAUUUUUGCUGCAGCCAACAUAAAGGAACGGUGUCUUUUUUUUGCUGACUGAUGCAGGAAUUUCGCAGGAGUUGUAAAAGACCCCCUGUUAAACUCGAUCUCAAAUCAAGUAAGACUACCCGCUGA
rnacentral:misc_RNA from 1 species